AGUGAACGCUGGCGGUAGGCCUAACACAUGCAAGUCGAACGGCAGCACAGUAAGAGCUUGCUCGUACGGGUGGCGAGUGGCGGACGGGUGAGGAAUACAUCGGAAUCUACUUUUUCGUGGGGGAUAACGUAGGGAAACUUACGCUAAUACCGCAUACGACCUACGGGUGAAAGCAGGGGAUCUUCGGACCUUGCGCGAUUGAAUGAGCCGAUGUCGGAUUAGCUAGUUGGCGGGGUAAAGGCCCACCAAGGCGACGAUCCGUAGCUGGUCUGAGAGGAUGAUCAGCCACACUGGACCUGAGACACGGUCCAGACUCCUACGGGAGGCAGCAGUGGGGAAUAUUGGACAAUGGGCGCAAGCCUGAUCCAGCCAUACCGCGUGGGUGAAGAAGGCCUUCGGGUUGUAAAGCCCUUUUGUUGGGAAAGAAAAGCAGCAGGUUAAUACCCCGCUGUUCUGACGGUACCCAAAGAAUAAGCACCGGCUAACUUCGU
rnacentral:rRNA from 1 species